GUUGGGUUAAGUCCCGCAACGAGCGCAACCCUUGUUCCUAGUUGCCAGCAUUGAGUUGGGCACUCUAGGGAGACUGCCGGUGACAAACCGGAGGAAGGUGAGGAUGACGUCAAGUCAGCAUGCCCCUUACGCUCUGGGCUACACACGUGCUACAAUGGCGCGGACAAAGGGUCGCGAGCGCGCGAGCGUGAGCCAAUCCCAAAAACCGCGUCUCAGUUCAGAUCGCAGGCUGCAACUCGCCUGCGUGAAGGCGGAAUCGCUAGUAAUCGCAGAUCAGCAUGCUGCGGUGAAUACGUUCCCGGGCCUUGUACACACCGCCCGUCACACCAUGGGAGCUGGCCAUGCCCAAAGUCGGAGCACCCGCCGAAGGCAGGGCUGGUGACUGGGGUGAAGUCGUAACAAGGUAGCCGUACCGGAAGGUGCGGCUGGAUCACCUCCUUU
rnacentral:rRNA from 1 species